rnacentral:rRNA from 1 species
GGGGAAUCUUCCGCAAUGGGCGAAAGCCUGACGGAGCAAUACCGCGUGAGGGAGGAAGGCUCUUGGGUUGUAAACCUCUUUUCUUAGGGAAGAAGCUCUGACGGUACCUAAGGAAUAAGCAUCGGCUAACUCCGUGCCAGCAGCCGCGGUAAUACGGAGGAUGCAAGCGUUAUCCGGAAUCAUUGGGCGUAAAGCGUCCGUAGGUGGCAGUUCAAGUCUGCUGUUAAAGGCUGGGGCUUAACCCCAGACAGGCAGUGGAAACUGAACAGCUAGAGUGUGGUAGGGGUAGAGGGAAUUCCCGGUGUANCGGUGAAAUGCGUANAUAUCGGGAAGAACACCGGUGGCGAAAGCGCUCUGCUGGACCACAACUGACACUGAGGGACGAAAGCUAGGGGAGCGAAUGGGAUUAGAUACCCCAGUAGUC